UUCAGCUGGAUGGCCUUGGAGGGAUUCCACCUCUACCUUCUCGUAGUCAAAGUCUUUGACAUCUAUGUCAGCAGAUACCUGCUCAAACUCAGUGUGGUGGGAUGGGGUGAGUUGAGUACUUCAAACAGGAAGUUCUCUUUAUCAGACUGUAAACUGUGGCUGACUGCUCAGUUUGCAUGUUUCAGGUGUUCCUGCAGUCAUUGUGUCAGUGGUGCUGAUCAUAGACAGAAGCUUUUAUGGUCCUGUCUCUGUGGAUACAUAUAAUGUCAACAAAACUGCAAUGUGCUAUAUUACCAAUGCUGACGUGAAAAUGGUGACUACAGUGGGACUGCUCGUGAUUGUGUUUCUGUUUAACAUGAUUAUGUUUGGGGUGACAAUCAAAUAUGUUUUCAGUGUUGGACAAAGCAGAGAGACUGAAUCCAAAAGAGUCAUGCAAAGCAUUUGUCCCCUGCUGGGAGUUGGCAUUCUGCUUGGCUUUCCCUGGAGCCUGGUCUUCUUCUCAUUUGGACAACUGACCACUCCUGGCCUCUACCUCUUCUGCAUCCUGAACUCACUGCAAGGUCAGUACAGUCUGCAACUAUGUGUGUCUCUGUUGAAGGUACUCAUCAAGAUUAGC